rnacentral:rRNA from 1 species
AUCUGGCCUCAAAUCAGGUAGGACU